rnacentral:rRNA from 1 species
UACGGAGGGAGCUAGCGUUGUUCGGAAUUACUGGGCGUAAAGCGCACGUAGGCGGCUUUGUAAGUUAGAGGUGAAAGCCCGGGGCUCAACUCCGGAACUGCCUUUAAGACUGCAUCGCUUGAAUCCAGGAGAGGUGAGUGGAAUUCCGAGUGUAGAGGUGAAAUUCGUAGAUAUUCGGAAGAACACCAGUGGCGAAGGACGGCUG